AUUGAUUGUAAUUUGCACGCUGUCAGAUUCACAAAAUGUUGCGAUUACCAUCAAAAGUUGAUCCAGAAGAACAAAAGAAAAUAGCUAGAACAGGAUGUAUACAGAGUUUUUGCAUAUUUGCCGUCACAUGUGCCGUCAUUCGAUCUUUGCCGUACAUAAUGAAGCAAAUUAAUUCUUAAUACAUGGAGAUAACUGACCAGUGAUACAAGACUGCAGUUUGACAAUUUAUAUCUAGAAAUGGAGAGACCAGACCAGACAUUGCUUAACAAAAUAAAAAAAAAAAAAAAUAGAGAUGUUUUAUUAUUAUAAGCAAAGCUGCUAUUAUUAAAUGGAUUCAGUCUCAA